AUUUCAUAUUUAGCAAACGAUGACAAAAAUACCGUUGAUUGCUGUUUUUUCGGUUUGGCUCUUUGUUGUUUAUGGCCAAAUACCCUUCAAUAACUUUGACCCUUAUCACGCCUAUUACAUUCCCCACACUUCAACGUUUACCAAUCAACCCAUUAAACAAGUUAAUGAUGAAACGGAAGCUCAGUCUGGCGAAACUGGUGAAUUCAAAAAUAAUCCGAGCAAUAGGAAACUUAUCUAUCAGGGUGUCAUUUUUUUUCAAAAUAAAACAACUUGAAGCAACGACUGCUAGUUUAGCAAGGCAACUGAAAGCGAUGCAAACAGCUUUAGACGAUAGGGCCGACAAAACUGCAUUGGCCGAAAAGGCCGACAAAACCGCGGUGGACUUAAAGGCCGACAAAACAGAGGUGGACUUAAA